UUAAAGAAAAAGAAGAAAGAAAAAAUUGGAAUGAUACAGAGAAGAUUAGCAUGGCCCCUGUGCAAUGAUGGCACACAAAUUCAUGAAGCGCUCCAUAUUUAA